rnacentral:rRNA from 1 species
GGACUACUCGGGUUUCUAAUCCUGUUUGCUCCCCACGCUUUCGUGCAACAGCGUCAGUAUUCACCCAGAUAGCCGCCUUCGCCACCGGUGUUCCUCUUAAUAUCUACGAAUUUCACCUCUACACUAAGAAUUCCGCUAUCCCCUAUGAUACUCUAGCCUUGCAGUAUCAAAAGCAAUUCUGAGGUUAAGCCCCAGGCUUUCACUUCUGACUGACAAAGCCGCCUACGCACGCUUUACGCCCAAUAAUUCCGAGUAACGCUAGCUCCCUUCGUAUUACCGCGGCGGCUGGCAC